CAGUCGCCGCGGUAAUACGGAGGGUGCGAGCGUUAAUCGGAAUUACUGGGCGUAAAGCGUACGCAGGCGGUUUGUUAAGUCAGAUGUGAAAUCCCCGAGCUUAACUCGGGAACUGCAUUUGAAACUGGCAGGCUAGAGUCUCGUAGAGGGGGGUAGAAUUCCAGGUGUAGCGGUGAAAUGCGUAGAGAUCUGGAGGAAUACCGGUGGCGAAGGCGGCCCCCUGGACGAAGACUGACGCUCAGGUACGAAAGCGUGGGGAGCAAACAGGAUUAGAUACCCCUGUAGUCCCUGUCUCUUAUAC
rnacentral:rRNA from 1 species